UGGAAGAUAAUGUAUGGUAACAAGGGAAUGAGUAUAGCUUAAGCAAAUGUCCCUUUUCUUGUGCCUAAUGAAGCUUUUUGAUGUCUUUUCCAAAGGAUCUGCUACGAAAGGAAGAUAAACACCUGCUGAACAUGGCAGCAAGACAAAAGGGGUGGCAGGAGAAGUAAAACAAGAGCUGGAAAGGAUGCUGCUCUGCACUGAAGCUCAGGAAGCCAGCACAGAGGAUAUGCCCUGAAGACAAAGCUUGGGACUCGAGGUGGGAACCAGGAAUGCUUGACCUCCUCUCAUGGCAUGCACCAGUGAGCAGAGUGGAGUUGGGUGGCUGGUGGCUGGAAGGAAGCAGACACACACACCAGGAAUGCAAGGUUGGGUUUUGCAGGGUACAGCUUCAAGUGCCUGGCAACAUCCCCCUUCCAUCAUCCCCCUCCUGAUCUGAGCCAUGAAAAACAACUUCCUGUCAAUAAACACGAACAAAAGCUUGGAAGCA
rnacentral:lncRNA from 14 species